AUGGAGCGAUUAGAGACAAUUUAUUUUACACUUUUAGAAGUAAUAUGUGUAGUACCUUGCUAUGUUGGACUUGUUAUUGAAAGUUGUUAGACACUACUAGUUUCGACCUAGUCGAAGGAUGCAUCCACAAAGUGUUUUGGGCUUACGACUACUCCUUCAACAACUACCAUGAUAAACUACUGUUCCCCUCCACCUAGUUUGUGGUGAAAGCACUCCCUCAUUUGAUUCUUCAAUACACGUAAUAGAACAUCAAUAUGGUAUUAAGUAAUCGAUAGGUUGUCCAUACGUGAUUUAUGUAAUGAUGAUAAUAUCAUAUAACCAUGUUUUGUGGGUUAUGGUAUUAAGUAAUCGAUAGGUAUAAGUGUAUAACAUAAUAGAUCACAUAAUAUCACGUAGCCAUUUUGUGAUAAAACAACAAUUUGUAACAUGUAUGCAUGAAUGUGUAAUUAUGUUAUAGCAUAAUGGUGACUAUGAUAUGACAUAAUCAUGACUAUAUGAUACUAUUAUGUUAUCUUACCAUCGUAACAGUAUUUAUAUAGAAAAAAGAUGCACGGUAACACCCUACUUUCAAAAAUAGCCUUUUUAUAGAUUCUGUUAGAAACCAAAAUGACAAAAAUCAUAAAACAUAUAAUUAAAUAUUAAUUAUUUUACACGAAUUGAACCAUACACGCACGUUGCGCCGUGUUAACUCGUAAAAUUUAGAACGAAUUGUAAAACCAAAAUUUGCUAAAGAUGAAA
rnacentral:lncRNA from 1 species